GUCUGCCUCAGCCUCCCAAAGUGCUGGGAUUACAGGGCACAGGGACUAGAAUUCAAGAAAGACAACUUUGGAUCUCUCAUCAGUGUAUCCAUACUCCCAAGAACAGGCUUUGACCCUUAUUUAAAAGAUUGGUACCUGAGUAUACAUUUAUCUGUUUUAAGCUCAAAAUGCUUAACAGGAUAUAUGUUUAAUUUUUUGUCCCACCUUAAUUUAUGAAUUAGUGAUGUACUAGCUAUGGUUGGACCAGAUAGAACAAGAUUUUCAUAUUAUAGAAAGGAGGUACAAUUAUUUGUAGAUAUGACGGUCUUGGAAAACUCGUAAAGUAAAUGGGGAAAACAAUAGAAAUAUAAGUACCUUUCAGCUUCUGUCCAUUUACUAUACAUUUGUGUAGUAUGUGUUUGCAGUCGUGCCUGCUUUCUAUUAAUACAUGUUUAUGCCAUUGUUCACAAUAGUAGGGUAUGAUGGCUGGUCACCAGUGAAUAGCAGAGGCAGGUUUCCUUCUAAUAUUUACUUUUGUUAGAAUGAACCACUAAUUUAAUUGCUAUAGGAUGACAAUACCUCUGCCAAACCAAGAUGAAGUUUGGCAGAGGGGCCAAUUAUGUAUAAAUACAUAAAAACCAGCAGUUUUGAUUAAUAACCUGUUACAUAAUUUUAAAAGGUAACACUAUUCACAGAGACAUAAAUUACCAAGAAAUGUUUAGGACCUCUAUAAAGAAAACUUAAUGAAAAUAUUAAGAAAGGGAAAAUAAAGACUAGAAUACAUGGA